UUUUACCAAAGAUUCCUGACCUGAUGGGCAUAAGGACCUGCAGAGAAUCCUCUGACUGACUGAAGGAAAAACCAGUGUGGUGUCAUCUUGCAAAUGAAUUCUGAUGAUAAUCACAAUUAUUUUUCCUGCUGGGGACAAACUUCUGCAGUGGCAGUAGUUCAUCUAUUGAUGUUGGACCUGAUGAACCCUUGAGCAUGGACAGAGCUUGGAUGGAGAAUACUGUAAUUGGUCUGUGCUGAGUCCAACCCAACAUCCUCAUGGCCAUCUUGAGCCAGCUCUCAGGAGGGGAAUCUUUUAUAGAUAAAUGUAUAUGGCCACACAAUGUUAAUUCCAGCUUCCUUCCAGAUGCAGAUAUACAGCAGCUUUAGUCUGCAGAAUAACCCCACACUCUUGCCAUCUGCAAACACAAGCAAUAGUUUUUGUCAGAAAAAAACUCCAAUCCAACUAGCACUUCAUUUCCCAUGCUAGAAAUGCCUGAGAGCAAAAACUUUCCCUAAAUAACCCCAACACUGAACAAUCACUGAAAUGCAUCUCUUUUAUUUCACUGCUUCUCCUCACCUGGUAAACAGUGACUUGGCCAACACCUGGUGCCUGUCUGCUCCAUCACUGGGGUGGUUGGUGCUGCUCAUGUCCUCUGAAUCUUUUAACCUGAUUUUCCACCUGCAGCUGCAUGGCUACCAAUGAAAAACCCUCCCUAAAACUCAGCCUGUGUGGAACAAGCAUGCUUCAUGGGGCUGGCUUUGGAGAGCCCACUUGAGGUAUGGGCUCCAGAAGGCAAAAAGUACCUCGAAGAGGAUGCACUGAUCUUUGUCCUCUUGCUGUUUCCUCUGUAGCGACUUCCUCCCCUGCAGUACUGCACAGCUGUAAAGAAGCUGUGAUGGCUCUGAGGAAGGAGUCUGGGUUCUGUGGCUGAUGUUACCCUGCUUGCCCCCCUGCAUCCUGCUCCAUCUCCAGCAUAUGGAGGGGCUAAUUGCUGCUGUAGGAGCUGCUGCUGUGCACAGUGGUCUGUGGAUGAGCUAAGCACAAAAAAAUGAUUUAUUACGGCUUUACGAUACAACUAUUUUUUCGUAGAUAGUAAGGAAAGUAUGGGAUAACCAAGGGGGAAAGAUCAGUUUGGUUUGGGGGAGCUAUUUUUUCAAGCUGUUCCUGGGCAGUCACGCGGUGUGUGCUGUUGGCUUGGUUUGUGGCACAGACUUCUCAUGCAGGGGCAGAGCUCACCCAAUGACAACCCCUCCAAGGGUGCCCUGAGCCACCUGGGAUGCUUUCCCUACUACAGAGCAGCUGGGGUUCAGCACUUGCCCUGGUAUUCCUAGGAACCUUCCAGAAAAGCACCUCCAAAGUAACAGAACCCCACGUCCCAUGGAUGUCACCUUAGCAGUGAUGGCACGGGAAGGGGAUGUCUGUGUUGGCACCUCUGUGACUUCAAAGGCAGGAGCUGAGAGGCUUCUCAGAGCCUCCGCUUUGUUAUUCGUCUUCCCCAGCGCUCAUAAAUUAUCAACAAACAAUCUCAGCCAUCAUGCCGGUGAGCAGGACUGGAUAAUUAUGUUUGUGGUUCAAAAUGAGGGUUGUCAAUUUUAAUUAGGGAAAGCUGAGGGCGCGGGGAAUUUUUAAUGUUACCACCUGAACUCUUGAGUGCUGCUCAGGAAAUAAUUGUAAAUGAAAAAUUAAACAGGGCUCAGUACACACUGCAAAGGGCAUUCCUUUUCUUCCAGUUUGCCUUUCUUUGAGGCGAAUUGGGAUCUGGCUAUACAACAGCCAACAGGUUUGCUGUCAGUACGAGGAAGGAAAGCUGGGGGUGAGCACCACCUGCACCGUGCAGUGGUGGUGGGGCACCAGCGCUCAUCUUUCCUUGCAGAACUGGUGCCAUCAAAACUUCUUGUGCUAAAAACAAGGCAGAGUCAUCCCUGAAUGUCACCAGCAGCCGGAGGGGCUGUCUGUGCAACUGCUGCAUCUGAGCCAGCAAAUGUCAGCUCAUCGCAGGGAGUGGGGGUUAAGAUUUAAUCAGCAGGCCAGCAUCCUCUCCUAAUUUAUUUUCCUUCAUUUAGAGAGGAUUUGCUGGGCUGCCUGUGAUCUUGUGAAUAUUUAUAGUGAGAAUUCUUUUUCUGCUGCUCUCGUGGUUAACAAGUUUGAUGCUUCCCAAAGAUGUGCACAAUAGAGUCAGACCUGGAAUGGCCCCAUCCUGUCCUGGCACUGCCCUUUGGGCACCAGCAGAGCACUGCAGGCAUGGCCUUGGCUCAUCUGCACUCUGCUAUGAAGGGGUGCUCUUCCAAGUGUGCUUAGCACCAGCAGAGCCUCAUCCAAAAUAUUCUCAAGGCAGCAGAAAGUCAUUUUAAUGGGCUUAGAUGAGGCCCAAAGUGAGUCAGCUGGAGCAAAUGAACUCCCAUUCGCUAAUGCAGUCUUCUAAUAGCCAGGCUGCAGAAAAGCAUUUGGCAAUUGUAGUUGUUAAGUCAUAAAAAAUAAUGAAAAAAAUGCAAUUAUUUUUAAUGCUAUGCACAUCUAUUA